AAAAAGCCGGGAGAGGGAGAAGAAAGAAAUCUUCCUUUUGCAAAAGGAGGCAUAAUGUGGCUUAGAGAACGGCCCCCCUCUCCGCCCUGGGGGAGCCGGGAGGAUGUGCAGCCCCAGUCCUCCUGCUCGGCGGAGCCUCGCGCGCGCAGAGCCUAGCGCGAUUCGCGCCCUCAUUACUACUACAAAGCGCGGGCCAGACCAAUCCCCUUUCUAAUGCACCAUUUUCGACUGAGAACAUCAAGAGGCCAGAAACUUCCAAGUCAGCUUGCAGACGCAGACGCCUCCUGGGGUCCUGGCUUUAAGAACCAGAUGCCAACACUCCCGGACAGUUUAUGGCAUCCGGAUCCCUCAAGGGUGCUCAUCUGCAGUUGAGAGUCUAAUAAAUGGCAUUAACAAAGCGUUUCAGCGACUACCACGGCUUCACAGUGGCUCCUCCCCUGCCCUGCCACCAUUCAGGCUGUAAUUCCUUCCAGGAUUCCCGCACCAUCCUGUGUGCCCAGAGCUCUCUAGAGCACCAGGAUUCUGUGUGAAGAAUACAGAGACAGACGUUCCAUUUCAAAGAAAAAAGAGCAACACGAAGGCCCUCUUUAAGGAGAGAGUAAACAUUCACUUUAGGUAAAAAAUAGUCUUUUACACGCCUGUGCACGGCACACCUCUUUUGCUGUUCACCUUGAGCCCAAGAGUUUGGAAAGGCUGCCCCCAUUUCAGAGAGGAAGAAACGCAGGCACACGUGAAUGACAGACUCCUCUGUGGUGGCCUAGACUCCAGCCAACACUUCCUAGGACAGCCUGCCAUUGUGCAAAGUCACCAUGUAACAAAUGCAGACAUCUCUGAGAUCACCAUGCAGUGAGGAAGUCUAAGCUGGUGGCAUGAAGAGGCCACAUGGAAAGGGCUAAAAAAGGGGCCAGCCUCAGUCAUCCCAGCUGAGCACCUGGCUGGGAAUAAAAGAGGACUCCGUGGAUGUCCAGCCCAGUAAGAUGACCUCAGCCCCAGCCACCAACUGACCAAGCACACAAGACAUCGUGAGGCUGCCUGCUGGAGCCUGGCCAGUGGGACUGUAGAGUAACUCAUUGUCGUGCAGGAACUCCUGGGAUGGUGUUGCCCAGUGACACAAUCCCAGUGUGGCCAUUUCUGAUCCCGAGAAAGCAGUCAGGAGUGGGUGGAUGCAGUUACAGUUCAUCAAGUCCUGCUAGUUCAAGUCAUGAGUCCUGAAUUCUCCAGGAGGAGCCACUAAAGAAAUGCAGAAGCAGGCAAUCCUUGCAAUAAGGCCAGCAAACUGCCAGUGUGAAGGAUGCCCAGGUAACCUGCCCAUGCCAGAACGGCCAGGAGAUGGUGGAACCAGAAUCUAAGCCCACGCCCAUCUGACCUCAAAGUCUGUGCUCCUGAGGUUCGCACCGAGUUGCCUCCUAAGACUUGCUGAAACUGGAUCACGUCCAUUUACCCAUCUCUGAGAGAAAUGCAAGCUUUAAAAAAGGAAAUAUUUACUAUGGAUAUUUUACAAUAGUUCCAAAACAUGAAAGUUUUAAAUAAGAUAUUCUUAACCAUCCUCACCACAUCUUC
rnacentral:lncRNA from 1 species